AUCGUUUUGAAGUUUCUCUCACUCCCUGAAGACUCAUUUGGCUCUCAGCAAUAUCAAGGCGUAGAAGAGUUGGGUGGUGAAACCAAAGAGGUGUGGAGAUUAGAAAUUGUAAAAUGAAACAAGAAACUUGGCAGUUGGAGGCUAGGAAUAUAAAUUAUGAAGAUUUUACGGUCGCUGCCUGGAAUCGAGGCGUUUGCUUUUCCCUUGGAUAACAUCGGUGGCGUGUGGAGGGGUGGCUGGCAUGCAUGGGUGACUACUGGUCUUCUAUAAACAACCCUGCCUGGAAUUUUGUUUCCCAAGAUGUGACAAACGCAGUAAAAGAGUAGCCGGCCAGGCUGUUCCGCAGUAUCGCAUUUGGCUGUAGCAACUUCGCCAAAAAUGCCACAAAACCAUCUUUAAACGAACAAACAUAAUAAAAACGACAGAAUGAACAAAAGCUAUAAAAGAAAUCCGUGAU